rnacentral:lncRNA from 1 species
GGCACUAGCAGGCUGGGAGCAGCUACACGGAAUGGAACUGCAUCAUCGCCGUCCUCCCCCUUCUCCAUGGCCCCCUUCACGCAGGCAGAUGGAAGCAAGCGCAUCAGAUGCGGAGAUGGAGAAACCUGAAGUAGACAAGGGGAUUCAUACCAUACCCGUGUCGAUGUCGAUGUUGCUGUUCUUGGGGCCGCCCGCGGUCUAGGGUUUCGGGUCGGAGAUCCUCGGAGAAGAAGCAGACGGAGGACUCCUCUGCUGCGUGGUUGUGGGGAAGGAACAGAACACCAUGGCGGCGUCCCGAGAGAGAAGCUCGGCGCCUAGUUGUGGGACCGGACCUCCCCUGUGUGCCAG